UGGUGUCACACCCCUGUGUUGUAACCAAAGCUGGGUGUGACAUUCCAUCCUAGCAAGAUAAGGGCUAUCUGCUUCUAACUGCAGAGACGGCUGGAGACAUUUAGGCAAACUCUUUCCUCUGGUGUUUCAGUUGUCUUCUAGACAUCAUGAAGACAUUCAUAUGUCUUUGGCACAAGAUAUAUGCUGAAAAAGACAACUGCAAUCAAGAAACCUGGAGCCAAACACUCCUAUACCUGACCUUGAAGUUUCUAAAAUGAUUUUGAAUGUUUUCAAUUAAUUGUAACUGUUCUAUUAAACUUCCAGUGUGUUUUGACAAGA